rnacentral:rRNA from 1 species
AUACGUAGGGGGCAAGCGUUAUCCGGAUUUACUGGGUGUAAAGGGAGCGUAGACGGUUCUGCAAGUCUGGAGUGAAAGCCCGGGGCUCAACCCCGGGACUGCUUUGGAAACUGUGGAACUAGAGUGCAGGAGAGGUAAGUGGAAUUCCUAGUGUAGCGGUGAAAUGCGUAGAUAUUAGGAGGAACACCAGUGGCGAAGGCGGCCUGCUGGACGACAACUGACGCUGAUGCGCGAAAGCGUGGGGAGC